rnacentral:rRNA from 1 species
CCUACGGGGGGCAGCAGUGGGGAAUAUUGCACAAUGGGGGAAACCCUGAUGCAGCGACGCCGCGUGAGCGAAGAAGUAUUUCGGUAUGUAAAGCUCUAUCAGCAGGGAAGAAAAUGACGGUACCUGACUACGAAGCUCCGGCUAAAUACGUGCCAGCAGCCGCGGUAAUACGUAUGGAGCAAGCGUUAUCCGGAUUUACUGGGUGUAAAGGGAGCGUCUGCGGUCAGGCAGGUCUGAUGUGAAAGGC